rnacentral:tRNA from 1 species
UGGUCGGUAGCUUAGUUGAAAGAGCACUUGUCUAGCGUAUAAUGGUCGUGAGUUCAAAUCUCACCUGAGCUG